rnacentral:snRNA from 1 species
AAGUGAUUAGCUCUUUUAGAAUUUGUCUAGCAUGUUUUCUGGUCUUUAUCCGGAAGACCCCA